rnacentral:rRNA from 1 species
GCAUAUCAAUAAGCGGAGGAAAAGAAACCAACAGGGAUUGCCCUAGUAACGGCGAGUGAAGCGGCAACAGCUCAAAUUUGAAAGCUGGCUUAGGCCCGCAUUUGUAAUUUGCAGAGGAUGCUUCUGGCGAGGUGCCUUCCGAGUUCCCUGGAACGGGACGCCAUAGAGGGUGAGAGCCCCGUAUGGAUGGACACCAAACCUGUGUGAAGCUCCUUCAACGAGUCGAGUAGUUUGGGAAUGCUGCUCUAAAUGGGAGGUAAAUCUCUUCUAAAGCUAAAUACCGGCCAGAGACCGAUAGCGCACAAGUAGAGUGAUCGAAAGAUGAAAAGCACCUUGAAAAGGGGGUUAAACAGUACGUGAAAUUGUUGAAAGGGAAGCGCUUGUGACCAGACUUGCGCCGGGCAGCUCAUCAGGGGUUCUCCCCUGUGCACUCUGCCCGGCUCAGGCCAGCAUCGGUUUUCGUGGGAGGAUAAGAACGGUAGGAACGUGGCCCCCUCUCGGGGGGGUGUUAUAGCCUACCGUACGAUACUCCCGUGGGGACCGAGGUUCGCGCUCCGCAAGGAUGCUGGCGUAAUGGUCAUCAGCGACCCGUCUUGAAACACGGACCAAGGAGUCGUCCAUUAGAGCGAGCGUUUGGGUGUAAAACCCGCACGCGUAAUGAAAGUGAACGCAGGUGAGAGCUUCGGCGCAUCAUCGACCGAUCCUGAUGUCUUCGGAUGGAUUUGAGUAAGAGUUUUAACGGACGGACCCGAAAGACAGUGAACUAUGCUUGUAUAGGGUGAAGCCAGAGGAAACUCUGGUGGAGGCUCGCAGCGGUUCUGACGUGCAAAUCGAUCGUCAAAUAUGAGCAUGGGGGCGAAAGACUAAUCGAACUGUCUAGUAGCUGGGUUACCGCCGAAG